rnacentral:rRNA from 1 species
AGCAGUAGCCGCGGUAAUACGUAGGUGGCAAGCGUUGUCCGGAAUUAUUGGGCGUAAAGGGCUCGCAGGCGGUUUCUUAAGUCUGAUGUGAAAGCCCCCGGCUCAACCGGGGAGGGUCAUUGGAAACUGGGAAACUUGAGUGCAGAAGAGGAGAGUGGAAUUCCACGUGUAGCGGUGAAAUGCGUAGAGAUCGGAAAGAACACCAACGGCGAAAGCACUCUGCUGGGCCGACACUGACACUGAGAGACGAAAGCUAGGGGAGCAAAUGGGAUUAGAUACCCCUGUAGUCCCUGUCUCUUAUAC